rnacentral:rRNA from 1 species
AACAAACGCUGGCGGCGUGCCUAAUACAUGCAAGUCGAACGGGGAAAGCUUUCGGGUGAGUACUAGUGGCGCACGGGUGAGGAACGCGUGGAUAAUCUGCCUUAGAGUGGGGGAUAACUAGUCGAAAGAUUAGCUAAUACCGCAUAAGACCACGAGAGCUGCGGCUUUUGAGGUCAAAGGUUUUUCGCUCUAAGAUGAGUCCGCGUAAGAUUAGCUAGUUGGUGAGGUAACGGCUCACCAAGGCGACGAUCUUUAACUGGUCUGAGAGGAUGAUCAGUCACACUGGGACUGAGACACGGUCCAGCCUCCUACGGGAGGCAGCAGUAGGGAAUAUUGCACAAUGGAGGAAACUCUGAUGCAGCGACGCCGCGUGGGUGAUGAAGGCCUUCGGGUCGUAAAGCUCUGUCGCAGGGGAAUAACACAAUGAAGGUACCCUGUAAGAAAGGAUCGGCUAACUUCGUG